UCAAGAUUAAAUAUUUACCUCUAUAAUCAUUUUUUUAUCCACUUUUUGUAAUGAAAAAGGUGUGUUUUGCUUCUCAACAGUCCAUUCCACAUGCCAACAUAACAUCAAUACAUUCUAACAUUGUACAAAUACUAUGUCCCUGCUUAUUCAAAAGAAACAUCUCAUUCUAAGGUAUGAAUGAUUACUGGAAUUACAACAUUCUGGCUUAAAAAUAGUACUAUUAAUUCCAAUAAAAGAAUCUGCUUUGUAAAAUCAUCUGUAGUUCUUGGAAUAAAUUAUUAUUAUUAAUAAUUAAUUGUGUUUAAGGGGUAGAGUGACGUAAUUUCCGGAUAAAUUAACUUUUCUUUAGCAGAGAGGCUUAAAAAUUAAAAAAAAAGUAAAUUAGUGAGAUUAAGUAAGUUUGUGUACAAAAUACUCAUACGCACCUGUUUGUAUUAUUCUUAAUAAAUUAAGAAUGUCAGGAAAUGAUAAUUUCAUGGAUGGAUUGUUAGAUUUUUGGAAGAGGAACCUAAGGAAAGUAUCGAUGACAGCGAUAUAUCCGAUGAAGAAGAAAAAAUUGCUCAAAGUGGACAUGAUAGUCACUCAGAGAACGUGAAAAUCCUGCGGAAUUUUUGCCAAAUAAAAAUCGUCAGCCUCAAUCGUCUUUAUUUGGCUUUCAAAAAGAUACUGUAUUAGUGUCUUAUGUUCCAAAAAAACAAACAAAGCCGUUAUAUUAUUAUCAACGAUGCACGACUUACCGGAAGUUGACGAAGAAUCAAAUAAACCCGAAAUUAUUUUACGUUAUAAUCAAACAAAAGGAGCAGCAGAUACGGUUGAUGAGAUGUUCGUUGCCUAACGAAUAAACUCUCAGAUAUUGUAUUUCACAUUCUGCGGGAAAUCAGUGUCGACGAAGAAUUUUCUUAAGUAAUUUAGCAAUUGCUUUAAUGAAAGAGCAACUAAUUAUGAGAGCUCAAAUAAUUACGCUGUCAAAGGAUAUUCGGGCGUUUUUGCAAAUGUUCUACACGGCUGCUGAUUGCGAAACGUCCGAAACAUAACCAACUCAAUACUACACAAAAUGCUGUAAAUGUAAGCAAUUCAUAAUAUGUAAAAAACGGUCAAAAACAAUGAUAACUUGCUCGAAUUGUGAAGUAUUGAUCGUGUGAAAGGCGCUUAAUUAAAUACGUUUCGUAAAAAUCGUAUCUGUCCGGUAUAUGAACGUAGUUUCAUAGAUGUUUCUUGUUUACUGGGUUAUUUUAUACUCUAUAUUGUAAACACAUAAAAUGUUUCUAGUUCUAGGUCUAAUGUUAGUUCUAGUAUUGCACUAGCACUAACCAUAGCUUUGUUCAUUGGGACUGCACUACUUACACUAAGCAGUUUAGUGCAGAUGUUGUGUGUUCGUUGGGGAUAGUGUAGUUUAGUGCAGUUGCACUCAUACUGUUCGUUGGGCCAUGCGCAGUGCAACUUCGUGCAGCUGGUGCAAGUUAGUGCAGAUUUUGUUGCACCUGCUUUCGAUUAAAUUCAAUAAGUGCAGUGUAAUUCAGUGUAACGAAAAUGGCGGAAUAUUUGAAAGCGUGUUUUGUAAUAAUUAAUAUUAAAUAUUAAAAAAUAAAACCUUAUAAUAAUUAAUAUUUGUUGUAUUAGAGAACACAGUACAUUUAAUCCCAGUAGAGGCAAUACAAAAUGGACAAGAUAGUAGAUAGAUAAAUGGACAACAGACUAUAAAUAAGAUAUUAAUUUGUUUUUUUAGGGUUAUUAUAAAUUAUUAGGCAAAGGACGAAUUCCAAAUCAGGUCGUCAUUGUUAAGGCCAAAUUCUUCUCGAAAUGUGCAGAAGAUAAAAUUAAAGCUGUUGGUGAAGUUUGUAUAUUAACAGCUUAAGUUGUAAUAAAGUUAUUAUAAAAAGAAAAAAA
rnacentral:lncRNA from 1 species